UUAUAAAGGGUACGCACUGGCGACUUCAGGUACACCGACUUCGGUCGGUUUUUCGUGUGUCUUUUUCUUUCCUAACCGAAAUCAUCAUGCGGAGAUACCCUUCUCUUGUUAACUGCAAGCACUCUGCGCUCUGCGAGCGACUUUGAUUCGUCUUAGUCGCACUCAAUGCAGCAGUCACAUUGUUUACAGUGUGAACUCAUUGAGAGUAGAGGCAGCGCGGCCUUACAGCUGCAAGUGCUUAGACACUCAAACUUUUCUUGUAUCUGAAAUCAAGCAGGACCACCCGCUGAACUUAAGCAUAUCAAUAAGCGGAUUGAG
rnacentral:rRNA from 1 species